rnacentral:rRNA from 1 species
GACGAACGCUGGCGGCGUGCCUAAUACAUGCAAGUCGAACGCAGGGGGGACGGGUGCGUAACACGUGGGUAACCUCCCAUCAGAGGGGAUAACACUUGGCAACAGGUGCUAAACCGAUACUGAUGGAUGAACUAGCGGUGCAUUAGCUAGUGGUUGAGGUAAUGGCGCACCAAGGCCACGAUGCAUAGCCGACCUGAGAGGGGUAUCGGCCACACUGGAACUGAGACACGGCCCAGACUCCUACGGGAGGCAGCAGUAGGGAAUCUUCGGCAAUGGACGAAAGUCUGACCGAGCAACGCCGCGUGUGUGAAGAAGGUUUUCGGGUCGUAAAGCACUGUGAGUGGGGAAGCGUUAUCUGACCAGGAAGCCCCGGCUAACUACGUGCCAGCCGCCGCGGUAAUAC